ensembl:rRNA 5S_rRNA 5S ribosomal RNA
GACUAUGACCAUUCCACUCUGAAUGCUCCUGAUCUCAUCUGAUCUUGGAAGCAAAGCAGGGUUGGACCUGGUUAGCACUUGAGUAGGAGACUGCCUGGGAAUGCUGGGUGCUGUCGGCU